GGGCAGCUGAGUCCGAAAGGAGGAGGAAGCUGUUUAGGGAAAGCAGAAGUGGAGUUUCUUCAGAAAUUCAGGCAGACAGACCACUGGCCACCCGGAAGUCAGCCACUGGACGGUGGGGCUCCAGCCACUGGCUUAAGGAUUUUGAUAUAAAAAUCAUCAUUUUCACCAAAAGUACGACACGGAAAGCAGCGAAACAAGCAGUACGCAGGCCUCUCACUGUUGCGGCCUCUCCCGC